GUAGGUGGCAAGCGUUGUCCGGAAGUUAUUGGGCGUAAGACGCGCGCAGCGGUUCUUUAAGUCUGAUGUGAAGACCCACGGCUCAACCGUGGAGGGUCAUUGGAAACUGGAGAACUUGAGUACAGAAGAGGAAAGCGGAAUUCCACGUGUAGCGGUGAAAUGCGUAGAGAUGUGGAGGAACACCAGUGGCGAAGGCGGCUUUCUGGUCUGUAACUGACGCUGAGGCGCGAAAGCGUGGGGAGCAAACAGGAUUAGAUACCCUGGUAGUCCACGCCGUAAACGAUGAGUGCUAAGUGUUAGGGGGUUUCCGCCCCUUAGUGCUGCAGCUAACGCAUUAAGCACUCCGCCUGGGGAGUACGGCCGCAAAGGCUG
rnacentral:rRNA from 1 species